CCUACGGGAGGCAGCAGUGAGGAAUAUUGGUCAAUGGGCGCGAGCCUGAACCAGCCAAGUAGCGUGAAGGAUGACUGCCCUACGGGUUGUAAACUUCUUUUAUAAAGGAAUAAAGUGAGGCACGUGUGCCUUUUUGUAUGUACUUUAUGAAUAAGGAUCGGCUAACUCCGUGCCAGCAGCCGCGGUAAUACGGAGGAUCCGAGCGUUAUCCGGGUUUCUUGGGUUUAAAGGGAGCGUAGAUGGGUUGUUAAGUCAGUUGUGAAAGUUUGCGGCUCAACCGUAAAAUUGCAAUUGAUACUGGCAGUCUGGAGUACAGUUGAGGUAGGCGGAAUUCGUGGUGUAGCGGUGAAAUGCUUAGAUAUCACGAAGAACGCCGAUUGCGAAGGCAUCUCACGAAUCCGCGAUUGACGCUGAUGCACGAAAGCGUGGGUAUCAAACAGGAUUAGAUACCCGUGUAGUC
rnacentral:rRNA from 1 species